rnacentral:rRNA from 1 species
GACAGAGGGUGCAAACGUUUGUUCGGAUUUACUGGGCGUAAAGCGCGUGUAGGCGGCUUGGCAAGUCGGAUGUGAAAGCCCACGGCUCAACCGUGGAAGCGCAUCCGAAACUGCUUCGCUCGAGUCUCGGAGAGGAAGGUGGAAUGCUUGGUGGUAGAGGUGAAAUUCGUAGAUAUCAAGCAGAACACCUGCGGCGAAGGCGGCCUUCUGGACGAAUGGAUUGACGCUGAGACGCGAAAGCGUGGGGAGCAAACAGG